rnacentral:rRNA from 1 species
AAAACAUCGCCUCUUGCAAAGUAAUGAAUAAGAGGUCCCGCCUGCCCUGUGACUCUAAGUUUAACGGCCGCGGUAUUUUGACCGUGCGAAGGUAGCGCAAUCACUUGUCUUUUAAAUGGAGACCUGUAUGAAUGGCAUAACGAGGGCUUAGCUGUCUCCUUUCUCUAGUCAAUGAAAUUGAUCUCCCCGUGCAGAAGCGGGGAUAGAACCAUAAGACGAGAAGACCCUAUGGAGCUUUAGACGCCAAGACAGACCAUGUUAAACACCUCCCCAUAAGGAGCCCAAACCAAAUGGUCCCUGCCCUAGUGUCUUUGGUUGGGGCGACCGCGGGGAAACAUAAAACCCCCAUGUGGAAUGGGAGUACCCUCUCCUACAACUAAGAGCUACAGCUCUAAUGAACAGAAUUUCUGACCAACAAGAUCCGGCAAUGCCGAUCAACGGACCGAGUUACCCUAGGGAUAACAGCGCAAUCCCCUUUUAGAGCCCAUAUCGACAAGGGGGUUUACGACCUCGAUGUUGGAUCAGGACAUCCUAAUGGUGCAGCCGCUAUUAAGGGUUCGUUUGUUCAACGAUUAAAGUCCUACGUG